rnacentral:rRNA from 1 species
AUUGAACGCUGGCGGCAGGCCUUACACAUGCAAGUCGAGCGGUUGAAGGGCUCUUGCUGCUGAAUUCAGCCGAAGAGGGGAGUAUAACGCCUGGAAAUAUGCAUGGUAGUGGGGGAAAACGGCCGGAGCUGGGCGAAAAUCCCACAUGAGUCGUGGGGGAGAACGGGGGGGCUCUUCGGACUUUACGCUCUCAGAUGAUCCGAGGUCGGAUUAGCUAGUUGGUGGGGUAAAGGCCUACCAAGGCGACGAUCCGUAGCUGGUCUGAGAGGACGACCAGUCACACUGGGACUGAGACACGGCCCAGACUCCUACGGGAGGCAGCAGUGGGGAAUUUUGGACAAUGGGCGCAAGCCUGAUCCAGCAAUGCCGCGUGCGGGAAGAAGGCCUUCGGGUUGUAAACCGCUUUUGGCAGGAACGAAACGGUGUCAGCUAAUACCGGGCGCUAAUGACGUUACCUGCAGAAUAAGCACCGGCUAACUACGUG